CAAAUAUUAAAAAAUAAAAAAAAAUUUAGCCAAAAUUGAAUAACAGUUCUGUAACAGCUAACAACUUUGCAUCAAACUUAACAGUUUACAGGCAGAAACUUAAAAGAGAGAUUAAUCCAUUAUUCAUUUACUAAGCAAUGAUAUCUAGUAUUUGUAAUGUUCAGAAUGCUAGGAUGACUUUUAGGACUGUCCUAUGUUAAUCUCCAAAUUACAAAUUGCAUAUGAUACUGUUCUCAUAUAGAGGGAAAAAUUGAUCAACAUGAGUGCAAUUUAAAUAUUGCAUCUUUAUGAACUAAUCUAAAAUAUUUUGAUUG
rnacentral:misc_RNA from 1 species